rnacentral:tRNA from 2 species
UCUUUUAUGGUGUAAAAAACACAUUACAUUUUCAAUGUAAAAUUAAAAUUUAUUUUUAAAAGUA